rnacentral:rRNA from 1 species
GACGAACGCUGGCGGCGUGCUUAACACAUGCAAGUCGAACGGAAAGGCCCUGCUUUUGUGGGGUGCUCGAGUGGCGAACGGGUGAGUAACACGUGAGUAACCUGCCCUUGACUUUGGGAUAACUUCAGGAAACUGGGGCUAAUACCGGAUAGGAGCUCCUGCUGCAUGGUGGGGGUUGGAAAGUUUCGGCGGUUGGGGAUGGACUCGCGGCUUAUCAGCUUGUUGGUGGGGUAGUGGCUUACCAAGGCUUUGACGGGUAGCCGGCCUGAGCGGGUGACCGGCCACAUUGGGACUGAGAUACGGCCCAGCCUCCUACGGUAGGCAGCAGUGGGGAAUAUUGCACAAUGGGCGGAAGCCUGAUGCGGCAACGCCGCGUGCGGGAUGACGGCCUUCGGGUUGUAAACCGCUUUCGCCUGUGACGAAGCGGGAGUGACGGUAAUGGGUAAAGAAGCACCGGCUAACUACGUG